GCAGAGUGCUGAAAGGCCUUGAGGAGAAGCUGUGUGAGGAGGGACUGAGGUCCCUUGGUCUGUUCAGCCUGGAGGAGACUGAGGGAAGACCUCACUGCAGUUACAACUUCCUCGUGAA